rnacentral:rRNA from 1 species
AACGCGAAGAACCUUACCUGCCCUUGACAUCCUUAGAACCCUGCAGAGAUGCGGGGGUACCGAAAGGGACUGAGAGACAGGUGCUGCAUGGCUGUCGUCAGCUCGUGUUGUGAGAUGUUGGGUUAAGUCCCGUAACGAGCGCAACCCUUGCCCUUAGUUGCCAUCAUUAAGUUGGGGACUCUAAGGGGACUGCUGGUGAAGAACCGGAGGAAGGCGGGGACGACGUCAAGUCAUCAUGGCCUUUAUGGGCAGGGCAACACACGUGCUACAAUGGGCAGUACAGAGGGCAGCCAACCUGCAAAGGGGAGCCAAUCCCAGAAAGCUGUUCGUAGUCCGGAUCGGGGUCUGCAACUCGGCCCCGUGAAGUCGGAAUCGCUAGUAAUCGCGAAUCAGAAUGUCGCGGUGAAUACGUUCCCGGGCCUUGUACACACCGGUAUCUC